rnacentral:rRNA from 1 species
CCUACGGGAGGCAGCAGUGGGGAAUAUUGCGCAAUGGGCGAAAGCCUGAUGCAGCGACGCCGCGUGAGGGAUGAAGGUCUUCGGAUCGUAAACCUCUGUCAGCAGGGAAGAACGGUCACUGUGCUAAUCAGCAGUGAAUUGACGGUACCUUCAAAGGAAGCACCGGCUAACUCCGUGCCAGCAGCCGCGGUAAUACGGAGGGUGCGAGCGUUAAUCGGAAUUACUGGGCGUAAAGCGCUCGUAGGCGGUAGGUCAAGUCAAGGGUGAAAUCCCCGCGCUCAACGUGGGAACUGCGUUUGAAACUGGAAAACUGGAGUGCGUGAGAGGAUAGUGGAAUUCCAGGUGUAGGAGUGAAAUGCGCAGAUAUCAGGAGGAACAUCAGUGGCGAAGGCGAGUAUCUGGCACAUAACUGACGCUGAGGAGCGAAAGCGUGGGUAGCAAACAGGAUUAGAUACCCUAGUAGUC